rnacentral:rRNA from 1 species
UACGUAGGGGGCAAGCGUUAUCCGGAUUUACUGGGUGUAAAGGGGGCGCAGACGGCGAUGCAAGCCAGGAGUGAAAGCCCGGGGCCCAACCCCGGGACUGCUCUUGGAACUGCGUGGCUGGAGUGCAGGAGGGGCAGGCGGAAUUCCUGGUGUAGCGGUGAAAUGCGUAGAUAUCAGGAGGAACACCGGUGGCGAAGGCGGCCUGCUGGACUGCAACUGACGUUGAGGACCGAAAGCGUGGGGAGCAAACAGG